rnacentral:rRNA from 1 species
GACGAACGCUGGCGGCGUGCUUAACACAUGCAAGUCGAACGGAAAGGCCCUGCUUUUGUGGGGUGCUCGAGUGGCGAACGGGUGAGUAACACGUGAGUAACCUGCCCUUGACUUUGGGAUAACUUCAGGAAACUGGGGCUAAUACCGGAUAGGAGCUCCUGCUGCAUGGUGGGGGUUGGAAAGUUUCGGCGGUUGGGGAUGGACUCGCGGCUUAUCAGCUUGUUGGUGGGGUAGUGGCUUACCAAGGCUUUGACGGGUAGCCGGCCUGAGAGGGUGACCGGCCACAUUGGGACUGAGAUACGGCCCAGACUCCUACGGGAGGCAGCAGUGGGGAAUAUUGCACAAUGGGCGGAAGCCUGAUGCAGCGACGCCGCGUGCGGGAUGACGGCCUUCGGGUUGUAAACCGCUUUCGCCUGUGACGAAGCGUGAGUGACGGUAAUGGGUAAAGAAGCACCGGCUAACUACGUGCCAGCAGCCGCGGUGAUACGUAGGGUGCGAGCGUUGUCCGGAUUUAUUGGGCGUAAAGGGCUCGUAGGUGGUUGAUCGCGUCGGAAGUGUAAUCUUGGGGCUUAACCCUGAGCGUGCUUUCGAUACGGGUUGACUUGAGGAAGGUAGGGGAGAAUGGAAUUCCUGGUGGAGCGGUGGAAUGCGCAGAUAUCAGGAGGAACACCAGUGGCGAAGGCGGUUCUCUGGGCCUUUCCUGACGCUGAGGAGCGAAAGCGUGGGGAGCGAACAGGCUUAGAUACCCUGGUAGUCCACGCUGUAAACGGUGGGUACUAGGUGUGGGGUCCAUUCCACGGGUUCCGUGCCGUAGCUAACGCUUUAAGUACCCCGCCUGGGGAGUACGGCCGCAAGGCUAAAACUCAAAGGAAUUGACGGGGCCCCGCACAAGCGGCGGAGCAUGCGGAUUAAUUCGAUGCAACGCGUAGAACCUUACUUGGGUUUGACAUGGAUCGGGAGUGCUCAGAGAUGGGUGUGCCUCUUUUGGGGUCGGUUCACAGGUGGUGCAUGGCUGUCGUCAGCUCGUGUCGUGAGAUGUUGGGUUAAGUCCCGCAACGAGCGCAACCCUUGUUCACUGUUGCCAGCACGUUAUGGUGGGGACUCAGUGGAGACCGCCGGGGUCAACUCGGAGGAAGGUGGGGAUGACGUCAAGUCAUCAUGCCCCUUAUGUCCAGGGCUUCACGCAUGCUACAAUGGCUGGUACAGAGAGUGGCGAGCCUGUGAGGGUGAGCGAAUCUCGGAAAGCCGGUCUCAGUUCGGAUUGGGGUCUGCAACUCGACCUCAUGAAGUCGGAGUCGCUAGUAAUCGCAGAUCAGCAACGCUGCGGUGAAUACGUUCCCGGG